AUUGAACGCUGGCGGCAUGCUUUACACAUGCAAGUCGAACGGUAACAGGGUGCUUGCACCGCUGACGAGUGGCGAACGGGUGAGUAAUGCGUCGGAACGUGCCGAGUAGUGGGGGAUAACGCAGCGAAAGCUGUGCUAAUACCGCAUACGUACUGAGGUAGAAAGUGGGGGACCUUCGGGCCUCACGCUAUUCGAGCGGCCGACGUCUGAUUAGCUAGUAGGUGAGGUAAAGGCUCACCUAGGCGACGAUCAGUAGCGGGUCUGAGAGGAUGAUCCGCCACACUGGGACUGAGACACGGCCCAGACUCCUACGGGAGGCAGCAGUGGGGAAUUUUGGACAAUGGGCGAAAGCCUGAUCCAGCCAUGCCGCGUGUCUGUAGAAGGCCUUCGGGUUGUAAAGGACUUUUGUCAGGGAGGAAAUCCCUAGCGUUAAUACCGCUGGGGGAUGACAGUACCUGAAGAAUAAGCACCGGCUAACUACGUGCCAGCCGCCGCGGUAAGAC
rnacentral:rRNA from 1 species